CCGCCGAAGUGCUACAAACCAUGUAUUGAGUUUAAUGUACACAUACAUACGGGUGAAUGUACAUGUACAUAUCAACGCCAAAGAGAGCAAUCAAGUACAUUUUUAGUUCUCGAGCUGAGUUGUGUUCUCCGCUUGAUCAUUCUGAUGUGGUUGGUUAUUGGUGUAGGAAACAUUCACAUAGAAAGGAGAAAGCUACCAUGUCUCGAGAAACUAUAUCUUGGUCUGCAACUUUAUGCAUAUUUUCUUACUUUCUACAUGGCGUCGAUAUGCGAAAUAUCAAUGCAGCCUACGACAAAUUGAGAGAGUCACCGGCAUCCCAGUGCGGUUAUCUGGUGAGUAAAUGCGCAUUUAAAAUACAACAACAAAGAAAUUUAACCUCUGGGAGUCGAUGCUAAAGGUACACCGUUGUCUUUAUUAUUUACUAGAGUAUUAUAUUAUUUUCAAGAAAAUUACUGAUCUCUUUGACUGAUCGUUUGUAUGUUUACUUCAGGGAUCGGCUUGCAUAUACAUAUAUAGAUACAUAAGUAUGUGCAUGUUCACAUGUUUUUUUAUUGCUUUUGUGUGAGUAGACAGCAGGCAAAACGGAACAUUGUUUUGGUGCCAACCACUGCUUUACGUGAGCGCAGCAUCGGAACAAUUUCCAAUGCACCGGCCUCUGGUUUACUUAUACAUACAUAGUAUAUUUACAUAUUACACAUAUGCA
rnacentral:sRNA from 1 species